AACGCUGGCGGCGGCCUACACAUGCAAGUCGAGCGGAAACGAAGAGGUGCUUGCACCUCUGGCGUCGAGCGGCGGACGGGUGAGUAAUGCUUGGGAAUAUGCCUUAUGGUGGGGGACAACAGUUGGAAACGACUGCUAAUACCGCAUGAUGUCUACGGACCAAAGUGGGGGACCUUCGGGCCUCACGCCAUAAGAUUAGCCCAAGUGGGAUUAGCUAGUUGGUGAGGUAAUGGCUCACCAAGGCGACGAUCCCUAGCUGGUUUGAGAGGAUGAUCAGCCACACUGGGACUGAGACACGGCCCAGACUCCUACGGGAGGCAGCAGUGGGGAAUAUUGCACAAUGGGCGCAAGCCUGAUGCAGCCAUGCCGCGUGUGUGAAGAAGGCCUUCGGGUUGUAAAGCACUUUCAGUAAGGAGGAAAGGUUAAGUGUUAAUAGCACUUAGCAGUGACGUUACUUACAGAAGAAGCACCGGCUAACUCCGUGCCAGCAGCCGCGGUAACACGGAGGGUGCGAGCGUUAAUCGGAAUUACUGGGCGUAAAGCGUACGCAGGCGGUUUGUUAAGCGAGAUGUGAAAGCCCCGGGCUC
rnacentral:rRNA from 1 species